rnacentral:rRNA from 1 species
AUUGAACGCUGGCGGCAUGCCUUACACAUGCAAGUCGAACGGCAGCACGGGUGCUUGCACCUGGUGGCGAGUGGCGAACGGGUGAGUAAUAUAUCGGAACGUACCUUAUUGUGGGGGAUAACGCAGCGAAAGCUGUGCUAAUACCGCAUAAUCCCUAAGGGGGAAAGCGGGGGACCGUAAGGCCUCGCGCAAUUAGAGCGGCCGAUACCUGAUUAGCUAGUUGGUGAGGUAAAGGCUGACCAAGGCAACGAUCAGUAGCUGGUCUGAGAGGACGACCAGCCACACUGGGACUGAGACACGGCCCAGACUCCUACGGGAGGCAGCAGUGGGGAAUUUUGGACAAUGGGCGCAAGCCUGAUCCAGCCAUGCCGCGUGCGGGAAGAAGGCCUUCGGGUUGUAAACCGCUUUUGGCAGGAACGAAACGGCGACUCCUAAUACGGGUGGCUAAUGACGGUACCUGCAGAAUAAGCACCGGCUAACUACGUGCCAGCCGCCGCCGUAA